UACGUAGGGUGCGAGCGUUGUCCGGAUUUAUUGGGCGUAAAGGGCUCGUAGGCGGCCUGUCGCGUCGGGAGUGAAAGCCCACUGCUUAACGGUGGGUCUGCUUCCGGUACGGGCGGGCUGGAGUAUGGCAGGGGAGACUGGAAUUCCUGGUGUGGCGGUGGAAUGCGCAGAUAUCAGGAGGAACACCGGUGGCGAAGGCGGGUCUCUGGGCCAUUACUGACGCUGAGGAGCGAAAGCGUGGGGAGCGAACAGG
rnacentral:rRNA from 1 species